GGCUGGUCCGAUGGCAGUGGGUUAUCAGAACUUAUUAACAUUAGCGUCACUAAAGUUGGUAUACCACCCCCCCCACUGCUAAAUUUGUCUGGCUUUAA
rnacentral:Y_RNA from 1 species